rnacentral:rRNA from 1 species
CGCCUGCCCAGUGAACAAUUAAACGGCCGCGGUACCCUAACCGUGCAAAGGUAGCAUAAUCAUUUGUCUACUAAUUAUAGACCUGUAUGAAAGGCAAAAUGAGGGUCCAACUGUCUCUUAUAAUAAAUCAAUUAAACUGAUCUCCUAGUAAAAAAGCUAGAAUAAUACCAUAAGACCAGAAGACCCUGUGAAGCUUAAAUCAAACUACUAAAUCACAUAGUAAUUACUUUCGGUUGGGGCGACCUUGGAAAAAAAUAGAACUUCCAAGACCCAGUACAACUGACAAUUGAACCAAGUUACUCCAGGGAUAACAGCGCAAUCUUCUUCAAGAGCCCACAUCAAAAAGAAGGUUUACGACCUCGAUGUUGGAUCAGGACAUCCUAAUGGUGCAGCCGCUAUUAAGGGUUCGUUUGUUCAACGAUUAACAGUCCUACGUGAUCUGA